rnacentral:rRNA from 1 species
GACGAACGCUGGCGGCGUGCUUAACACAUGCAAGUCGAACGGAAAGGCCCUGCUUUUGUUGGGUGCUCGAGUGGCGAACGGGUGAGUAACACGUGAGUAACCUGCCCUUGACUUUGGGAUAACUUCAGGAAACUGGGGCUAAUACCGGAUAGGAGCUCCUGCUGCAUGGUGGGGGUUGGAAAGUUUCGGCGGUUGGGGAUGGACUCGCGGGUUAUCAGCUUGUUGGUGGGGUAGUGGCUUACCAAGGCUUUGACGGGUAGCCGGCCUGAGAGGGGGGCCGGCCACAUUGGGACUGCGAUACGGCCCAGACUCCUACGGGAGGCAGCAGUGGGGAAUAUGGCGCAAUGGGCGGGCGCCUGAUGCAGCAACGCCGCGUGCGGGAUGACGGCCUUCGGGUUGUAAACCGCUUUCGCAUGUGACGAAGCGUGAGUGACGGUACUGGGUAAAGAAGCACCGGCUAACUACGUG